AGUGGGGAAUAUUGGGCAAUGGAGGAAACUCUGACCCAGCGACGCCGCGUGAGGGAUGAAGGCCUUCGGGUUGUAAACCUCUUUCAGUAGGGAAGAAGCGAAAGUGACGGUACCUACAGAAGAAGCACCGGCUAACUAUGUGCCAGCAGCCGCGGUAAUACAUAGGGUGCAAGCGUUGUCCGGAAUUAUUGGGCGUAAAGAGCUCGUAGGUGGUUCGAUACGUCGGAUGUGAAAAUCAGGGGCUCAACCCCUGACCUGCAUCCGAUACGGUCGAGCUAGAGUUUGGUAGGGGAGACUGGAAUUCCUGGUGUAGCGGUGGAAUGCGCAGAUAUCAGGAGGAACACCGAUGGCGAAGGCAGGUCUCUGGGCCAAUACUGACACUGAGGAGCGAAAGCGUGGGGAGCGAACAGGAUUA
rnacentral:rRNA from 1 species